rnacentral:rRNA from 1 species
AUGAACGCUGGCGACGUGGAUAAGGCAUGCAAGUCGAACGCCCCGCAAGGGGAGUGGCAGACGAGGUAGUAACACGUAGGUACGCACCCCAAAGUCAGGAAUAGCCCAUUGAAAGAUGGGGUAAUACUUGAUGGUCCCGAAAGGGUAAAGAUUUAUCGCUUUGGGAGCGGCCUGCGGGAUAUCAGCUAGUUGGUGGGGUAAUGGCCCACCAAGGCAAUGACGUCUAGGGGAGGUGAGAGCCUGACCCCCACCGAUGGUACUGAGAAACGGACCAUACACCUACGGGUGGCCGCAGUCGAGAAUCUUCCGCAAUGGACGCAAGUCUGACGGAGCGACGUCGCGUGAUGGAUGAAGUCUUUCGGGAUGUAAACAUCUUUUGUCGAGGAGAAAGUGGCAUUUAUGCCACACGAUAGUACUCGAAGAAUAAGGGGUUGCUAACUCUGU